CGGAGGGAUCAUUACUGAGUUUACGCUCUAUAACCCUUUGUGAACAUACCUAUAACUGUUGCUUCGGCGGGUAGGGUCUCCGCGACCCUCCCGGCCUCCCGCCUCCGGGCGGGUCGGCGCCCGCCGGAGGAUAACCAAACUCUGAUUUAACGACGUUUCUUCUGAGUGGUACAAGCAAAUAAUCAAAACUUUUAACAACGGAUCUCUUGGUUCUGGCAUCGAUGAAGAACGCAGCGAAAUGCGAUAAGUAAUGUGAAUUGCAGAAUUCAGUGAAUCAUCGAAUCUUUGAACGCACAUUGCGCCCGCCAGCAUUCUGGCGGGCAUGCCUGUUCGAGCGUCAUUUCAACCCUCAAGCUCUGCUUGGUGUUGGGGCCCUACAGCUGAUGUAGGCCCUCAAAGGUAGUGGCGGACCCUCCCGGAGCCUCCUUUGCGUAGUAACUUUACGUCUCGCACUGGGAUCCGGAGGGACUCUUGCCGUAAAACCCCCCAAUUUUCCAAAGGUUGACCUCGGAUCAGGUAGGAAUACCCGCUGAACUUAAGCAUAUCAAUAA
rnacentral:rRNA from 2 species